ACUCACUGCAUUUAAAACACUUAGCACACUACCUGGCAUAUAAAUACUCAAUUGUGUUUAUUAUUCUUAUUAUUAGGACUGUGAUGCCGCCUUAGUCUAUUUGUGUUGCCACAAAGGACUAUCUGAGGCCAGUUAAUUUAUAAAAGAAAAGAGGUUUAUUUGGCUCACGAUUCUGGUGGCUGGAAAGUUCAAGAUUGGGCAUCUGCACCUGGGGCGGCCUCAUGCUGCUUCCACUCAUGGCGGAAGGUGAAGGGGAAGCCAGCAUGUGCAGAUCAGAUGGUAAGGAAGGAAGCAAGGGAGAGAGAAGGAAGGUGCUGGACUCUUUUUAACAAGCAGCUCUCUCGGUUACUAAUAGAGUGAGAGUUUGCUCACCCCCAAGGGAAGGCAUCAAUUUAUUUAUGAGGAAUCCACCCCCAUGACCCAAACACUUCUCAUCAGGCCCCACGUAUAACAUUGGGGAUCAGAUUUCAACAUGAGGUUUGGAGAGGACAAGUAUCCAAACCACAGCAGGUGCUUAAGCAGGGGAGCAACUUUGCCUUAUUAAGCUUCCAAUAUUUCUAGGUGUUUUUAAGAGAUAUGAAAAAAGUUAUUUUCCAUAUUACAUGGGGAAAGAGUGAAUGGGUGGGCAUACAGUGAUUCAAAUUUGUAAAAGGUUUUUCCAGUUUGUUAUUUCCUCAACAAAGGUGAUGGUGGGGUGAGCAGCUGUCACUGACUGCAGAUGGCAUCAGGGAGAACACUUGAGGGGAAGAACUUCUUCAGUGGUGAAGAAAAUCUAUAGACAGGCCAGACGGCCUUCAGGAUGCCUCCUACUUGGUGUGAUUUUUUUUUUUUUUUUCUGGAAAUCCACUGUAAGGUGUCAUUUCCAAUCAAAGCAAAUGGUCCUGUGAGGAGUUUCUUUUUAAGCCAUUAUCUGUCAUUGUCAGCUUAGUAAGGCACAAGGAUCUGGGAGCAGGUUUGGGGAAGGUGAAGAAAAGAAUGAACCAGGAAGCUUAUUCAUUUCCCUUAAAUCCUUUAGGGUAGAUCUUGUUGAUUAAUAAUUGCAGGCAAUCUCUGUUAAAUGAAUGAAUGAAUGAACAAAUGAAUGGUGAGCUGCCCUUCCAGGGACAACACAGCACAGCAAGGACCAAGGAGUCUGAGAUUACCACUCAUCAGUCUCAUUGCAGCUGGUCCCUGAAUCUAAGAUCCCGCUUUUACAGAUGAAUGAACUGAGAAGUGAAGCGAUCCUGUUGGACACAAAUGUGGCUUAGUGGAAUCACCACCAGAAUUCAGGCGUAGCAUGUUACUUCCCACCCCCCAAUGCCAGCACUAAAGACCAGCAUUCUGAAAAAGACCACUGUAAUUGGAGAUGCCUGCAUCUGACCCCAAAGCACAAAAUCCCCGUGACUCUGAGGAGCUGCUGUACCACUUGUGACAGCUCCACAGCUCCGUAUUUAUUUAUUUCUCGCUUCUUGCAAAAACACUAUCAACAUUCAAUCAAGUCUCAAAGACAAAGGUCAGAAGGCAAGUGGUUUAAACUACCUAAACUAAACAGUCCCUUUGAAAACUAUUUUCUCUCUCUUAAGGUCAAACUGUUGCUCUCAAUGCUGUGAGCAAUUAAUAAGCCAGACUGGGCCAAGCUGUGUCGUUGUUUUAGGAAACCCCACCCAUCGGGUGGCAUUAGACCAGCCCUCUGGAAACUGAGACAUUUGUGAAAAGUGUGAAAGUUGCCGGCCGUAGCUUGUUAAUGGGAUGCCAUCGCAGCAUUAUGAAAGGUGCAGCCUUCAGUAACUAUUUUGAGACUGAGGAUUAUACGCACAUUCUUCGCUGCUCUGUGAAGUUCCUGUGCUCCUGGUGAGAACACAGUCCCGGCGCUGCUGUGAUGGUCACAUCUGUACCCAUGUGCCUCAGCAACAAUUCUGGCAAUUCUUCAUUGACUGUUCACUGCAUCCCAAGCACCAUUCUAAGUGAUUUACCAAUGUCGUGUCACCCAGUCCUUACAGUAAGCCUUUGAGGUCCUGUUCCCCAUCAAACCUUUAGAGAUCCUUUGUGGCCUCAAUCACCCAGCUGGGCAGCCUAUGCUUUGCCUGCAACCAAGUUGUCGAGUUCCCGUAAGGAAAGAGGAAAUGAAUCAGAAUUCAUUCCGCAAAAUGGUCCUGCAGUGAUUUCUGACCAUUCACGAUGAGUUGGCCAAGUUAGGUGAUUCACAGCACAGAGGUUCUAGAGCAUUCCCUGUAUGGGCCCCAAGCUCUGCUGACCUCUUGGGCCGGGCUGCCGUCUUGCACAUUCUUAGAGCCAAGAGGGAUCUUGGUGAGUAAAUGGAAAUGAAAGACCGUGACAUUACCACAACAAGAAAAACAACUUCAGGCAUAUGUGGGGUGAGGGGUAUGCAUACAAACAAAAGGAGAACAUGUUGCUACAUUAUUUACAAGAAAAAAUUCAGGACCGCUUAGGAUCUGUCCAGAGAUUGAAGCUCAAGUUCAAGAUUUAAGAGCAAUGAACCUAGAUCUUUGAAUGUGUCAUUUAGGCCUCGUGUAUAAUACGUUCCCAACAAAUGACUGUUGAAUAAAGAAGAAAAGAGAUUGAUUUAGUUUACCAUGGCAUUCUUCAUGCAGGAUGUUGUAGUAGGGUUCUCCAGGUUGACAGAACCAAUAGGAUAUACACAGUGUGUGGACAGAUGAGAGGGGAUUUAUUAGGGGAGUUGGCUCAUGUGAUUAAGGAGGCUGAGAAAUCCCACAAGAAAUCCCACAAGUCUGCAAGCUGGAGGCUCUGGGAUGCGGGUAGCGUGGCUCAGUCCACAUCCUAAGGCCUCAGAACCAGGGAAGCCCAUGGUGCAGCUCUCAGCCCAAGGCCAAAGGCCUGAGAACCCAGGGCCACUGGUAUAAGUCCUGAAAUCCAAAGGUUGGGGAGCCUGGAGUUUUCAUGUCCAAAGAUAGGGGAGGAAGAGUGUACCCCAGCUCCAGGAGAGAGAGACACACCGUGACCCUUCCUCUCUGUUUUUGUUCUUUCCAAGCCCUGGCAGACUGGAAGGGCACCGUCCACAUAGAGGGCGGGUCUUCCCCACCAAGCCCACUCAGGCUCAUGCACUAUUCUCUUCAGGAAACACCCUCACAGACAGGUUCCUGCUUUAUUCCUUAACCAAAUCAGGUUGACACCUACAGUUAACCGUCACAGAUGUGCAUCUCCUACUUGCUGAAUGAUCUCUCCAUGGUUGAAGGAAAGGAUCAGAUUCUAUUCAUUUCCCAUGUCAGUUAUGGUGCUAUUUGCAAAGUCUCAUCAGCAUAUUCAUCAUUGUCAUCACCAUCCCCAGCAUCCCCGUUGCGGCAGGAAGACCAGCUACUCUGGGUAUGGAAACUGCGGGCUGGUGUCCAGCGUAUGAGAUCAGCGAGUAUCACCUCUGCUACCUGCCCUUCCUGCUGUGUUAGAAGCCGUGGCACAGGUCAGCUCCUUGCCCAGCCUUCUGGCUUUGACUCUCUGGUUCUUUUCUAUCGACCUGGCUUCUGAAAUCCUCAGAAGCUGUCGCUGGCUUCCCUAAGAAAAACACAGGUAGCAGGAGCUUGAAAAGGUGGGUAAAUGCCCUAAGACAAAGGACUUAGCAGAACAGCAGAGAUGGAAAUAGGUGGAGAGCUAGGCAGAAACUGGACCCUGCCUGGCAGGGGCUUCGAGAGCGUCUCACUCGGGGGCGCAGGGGGCAGAGCAGAGACAUCUGGAGAUGAGGGACCCCGGCUCAGACUGCAGCCAGCGCUAAGGACAAGACAGGGUUUGGGAUUCCAGCCCCUCUCCGUGAAUCUGGGUCAGCACUCACGGCUCAGUCAAUAAUUGAUCAUUCAUGUCAUUAACAGCUUGUGGGUUUCUAGACCCUCUAGAUUCCAGCUCUCACCAGAUCUUCCCAGUCUGGGGGAGGGAAAAGAAAUAGAAUUAAAAAUCCAUCAGAGGCUUUCCCUAUUGGCACAGUCCUGCCAGAAGGCUAAGUGGGAGAGGAGGCUCGAGCGAUGGUUUAAUGAGGUGUUGUGAUUGUUGGAGGUGGCCUGGUCCCUGCUGGGAAGUUACUGUAAUCAGGGUGAGGUCUGCCAGAGGCGAUGGUGAGCACCAGAGCUGACCCCAAGGACGGAGGACUGGCUGGGAAAAGGAGGCGUCUGUGUGCUCGGCACCGAGUACGCCCGUUUGCAGGAGUACCGCUUUGUCGGAGGGCUGUGGCCUCACUUUUAAGGAUCAGAGUACCAUAAGCCUUUUAUGAGCAGCAGAAAUGAACAGCACCUUCCCCAGUUCUCCAUGGUCAGUGGGUCAUGGAGGCUGAAUGUUAUCCCUGCGCCCCAUGAAACGUCAAGAGAAAGCCCUGAAAACCAUGUAGUGGUGCUGGUAUCAGUGAGCGAUUCCUCCCCAUCUCUCUCAUUCCCCAUCAAGGAAUGCAUCCAAACAGUUUUCUAGCACCUCGUAAUUAAAUCAUGAGACUCAGCUAUUUGGUUAUUUGUUUUGCAUUGCUUCUGCGGAGAGUGUUUCUGUGCCCAAAUGAUACAUUUUAGAAACAAAUCACAGGGAAGCGGUGGUCCUCACGGCAGCUCACGGUUGCAGAGCUAAAUUGCAGGAUGUGACUUUGCAAUGCGUGUCUUGGCCGUAGUCGCAGCUGGCCAAGCUUGCUUCUACUUACUCAUCUUCCUCUAGGCUCCCAAAAUGUUUUCCUGGAAUAUGCUCAUGGGGGUGGCGGUGGGGGGGAUGUUAUUUAUAAUCUCACAUAAUCCUCAUUCUCAAACCAAACGCAUGCAGCGGCUGCUUUCCACAGGAAGAAGAACGGCUCGUGUGAGCUGGGAGGAAUGCAGGGAGGUACUUGGCACCCCGACACCUCCAACCUGCAUCCAAUUUAGGAGAGUCUUGGCCUUCCGAGGAUGGGCUCAGAAACAACAGCCCCAUCACACAGACUUGCCUGAGCCCGUGCUCCGGAGCUGCCAACCCCUUCAGCCCUCACCUGACCUCCAGCAGUGACAUCACGAGCAAUCUGUAACAAAGGCAAUGACAGGGAUGGAUUAUUCUGAUCCAGUGUGGCACUGCUUGUAGCAUCCUUGAUUCUUAAAUUUAUUGCUCACACAACCAAACUCACCCUGAGUCAGUGAUAAAUUAUGGAAUGAGCAUUGGCUGCAAACACAGCUACAGAAUGUCUGCAGAAAGGAUAGAAGAGACAACUUCAGGAUACUAUUUAGAGAAAUGGGGAUAAACUAGACAGACGAAGGACAUAAGUUCUGGAAUAAGCCCAUGGGUUCAUCAUAUCCAUGCUGGGCCACUUACUAGCUUGAGGCCAUAGACAAGUUACUUAACCUUUCUUGCCCUGUUUCCUCAUCUUUAAAAUGGGAUGACAAUUCCCAGUGCAUAAGGUUACUGUGAGAUAAUACAUGAUAGUCCUCCAGGACAGAGUACUGGGUGUAUAAAGACAUGCUCAGUACACAUACUGUGUACAUGUUUCUGUGAGUGUGUACUUAGUGACUAUAGAAAUCAUAAGUAAGAGCCGAGUGCGGUGGCUCACGCCUGUAAUCCUAGCACUUUGGGAGCCCAAGGCGGGAGGAUCGUUUGAGCUCAGGA